rnacentral:rRNA from 1 species
AUUGAACGCUGGCGGAAUGCUUUACACAUGCAAGUCGAGCGGCAGCGCGGGGGCGAACCCUGGCGGCGAGCGGCGAACGGGUGAGUAACAUAUCGGAACGUACCCAGUCGUGGGGGAGUAACUAUCCGAAAGGAUAGCUAAUACCGCAUACGUCCUGAGGGAGAAAGCGGGGGAGUCGCAAGACCUCGCGCGAUUGGAGCGGCCGAUAUCGGAUUAGCUAGUUGGUGGGGUAAAGGCUCACCAAGGCGACGAUCCGUAGCGGGUCUGAGAGACGACCCGCCACACUGGAACUGAGACACGGUCCAGACUCCUACGGGAGGCAGCAGUGAGGAAUAUUGCGCAAUGGGCGAAAGCCUGACGCAGCGACGCCGCGUGGGGGG